rnacentral:rRNA from 1 species
CGUCAGCUCGUGUCGUGAGAUGUUGGGUUAAGUCCCGUAACGAGCGCAACCCUGUCCUUAGUUACCAGCACGUUAUGGUGGGCACUCUAAGGAGAACUGCCGGUGGACAAACCGGAGGAAGGUGGGGGAUGACGUCAAGUCAUCAUGGCCCUUACGGCCUGGGCUACACACGUGCUACAAUGGUCGGUACAAAGGGUUGCCAAGCCGCGAGGUGGAGCUAAUCCCAUAAAACCGAUCGUAGUCCGGAUCGCAGUCUGCAACUCGACUGCGUGAAGUCGGAAUCGCUAGUAAUCGUGAAUCAGAAUGUCACGGUGAAUACGUUCCCGGGCCUU